UGAAGUACACCAAAGAACCAUAUUACUAUGAAACCAACAUCGAUCACUGAUGAGGAUUAGGAGGAUGAAAUCCUUUAUUUGAAUUAGAUCACCACCGAAAAAUGACAUGCGGACAUCCAUUACUGGCAAAUCAAUAUGUGACUUGAUCAUGACUCAAUUGUAUGAUACUUUGAUGGUUUCAACUUAAUUGAAAUAAUGGGCAAGAUUUAUACGAAGAGGCCUGACAUGUUUUGGGGGGUUUCUUUCCUUCUCCAUGCUUUCUUUAAUUUCCAUGGGACUUGAGCUUGAAUCCACAUCUACUUGACUUGGGUGUACAUAUAUUAUACUACUCUGAUGAAGCUUUUUGGAGGAGGAAUGUUCUUGUUUCUUUAGUAUAUGGGCGGAUUUAAUUAUAUGAUGUGCAAUUAUGCAUACAUGCAAGGAAUGGUCCGAUUGAUCGAUUCCUCAGCUACAAUUCAAUCUGAUGAAGAGGAUUCUUAGGACAAUUUUAUGUCUGAUUGGUGGCUUAAUCAUGCAGAUAAGAAAGCUGGGAUGAAAUUAACUUCAACUUGUUGAAUGAGAUGUGGACAAGUAUAAUGACUGGCCUAACUCUGGUGGACAUAUACAACAUCAUAAGAAGUAUCAUGACUCAAGUACACUUCCAUUCGAAUCACAGUGCCCAUUGCACUCUAUCAGUGUUUCUAAGCCUCCAGCAAGUACCUGUUUUGUAGCCUAUGCAGAGGACGGGAGCAUGCAAUUUAAGUACACCAAGCAAAAUUUUUCUAUCAAACCAAUCUUGACGAAAAUAUAGCAAUUGAGAGCUAGGAUGAAGUUUGGCUGAUCAACUUGCUGAAUGAGAUGUGGACAUGUAUAAUGACUGGCUUAACUCUGGUGGACAUAUACAACAAUAUAAGAAGUCUCGUGAGGAUGAAUUCCACUUAUAAGCACUGAAUCAUUGUUUGCAAGGGUGUCCAUACUGAUUGCUCCUCCAGCAAGUGCCCCAUUUUGUAGCCUAUGCAGAGGACGGAAGCAUGUGUUUUAAGUACACUAAGAAACCAUUUUCUUGUCAAACCAUCAUUGUUGAAGAUAUACCAACUAGGCUGCGGUUUGACAGUACAAAUUACUUGAGCUGAUGGUUUAUGUGGAGAAAUUCAUGUCCAUUCAGAAUAUUUAAGUGUUGCAUGUCCAAUAGAACUUCAGAAAAUACUGUGAAGCUCUCUGGUGGGGAAGUAUUGGUUGUUUCUUCGAGGAAUGGCUGAGAAGCAAGUUCUUUAUGCAAAUAUGCGACUUGAUGACUCAACUGCGAGAUUAGUUUGAGCUUACAAAUCAUUUCGUUUCUACUUUCAACUUGAGAAGAUGGUUUUUGUGGAGGAUUUCGUGACUUGGUUUUUUAAUUUUCUUUGAGUUUCUCUUUUCUGAAGGAAUUAGUGCGCCAAUCAAGUCUUUGAUGAAGCUUUUGGGUGCCACUGCUGUGCUUUUUCAUGAAUUGCAUACGGGGACUGAAGCUUGAAGUACAAUAUGAGAGCACCAAAGGAAUGAGAUGAGAAGAUGCAUGACUUAGAUUAAUUGGUGGAUAUGCAGUUCCUUGGCUACAUUUCAAGCCGAUGAAAAUGAAUCCUAUGCUUAAGCACAUAUCAUGGUCAAGACCAAGACACAGCCCUGAUUUUAGCUGACAACAGAACUGAUGAAAUGAGGAUUGAACUGCAGUGUUGAUGUUCAGUUUGGGGUGGACUUUGUAUCAGUUCUGAAACUAUUCUUUUUCAUUUUGAAAUGUGGCCAAGUCAUGGAUCGAAAACCUUGAGCUCUGGUUGGGGAAAAAAAGAAGAAAAAGAAAAAUACUAACUCUCAAGUUGUAGUGGUGAGCUAUCGAUGAAACUCUUGCUUUGUUAUGUUUGCUAUUUAUCCAGUAAAUGAUGAU